rnacentral:tRNA from 1 species
GCCUGGCUGGCUCAGUCUGUAGAGUAUGUGACUGUUAAUCUUGGGGUCGUGAGUUCAAGCCCCACUUUGGGUG